CCGGGCAGUGUCUUGUACUGACUUGAUAGGACAAUACUUGGAAUGGUGAAGGACUCGAACACACCGUUUUCAUGAUAUUAAGUGAAGCUGCAGUCACACUGAGUUCCACAGCCCCCACCACUGAAAAGAGAGACAUUACUGUAAGCUGCAGACACACUGAUGUCCUGACUGAGUUCCACAGCGCUCACCACUGAAAAG